UACGUAGGGGGCAAGCGUUGUCCGGAUUUAUUGGGCGUAAAGAGCGUGUAGGCGGUCAGGUAGGUCCGUUGUGAAAACUCGAGGCUCAACCUCGAGACGCCGAUGGAAACCAUCUGACUAGAGUCCGGAAGAGGAGAGUGGAAUUCCGUGGUGUAGCGGUGAAAUGCGCAGAUAUCAGGAAGAACACCCGUGGCUAAGGCGGCUCUCUAGUACGUGACUGACGCUGAGACGCGAAAGCGUGGGGAGCGAACAGG
rnacentral:rRNA from 1 species